UGAUUCUUCUAAAAUGGACCUAUUAGAAGGCUUUGAUGAGUUUAUUUCAUUGUAACGAACCAUAUAGGUGAGUUCUUAUAUCAUAACAUUUUGUUUAUGGAGAUCGAUCCAUAUAAAAAACCAUAGAAGGGGAGGGUCUAUUACUUGUCGUAGCUUUGUUGCUCUGAGAAAAUCAGAAAUUAAAAAAAAAUGAUCAUUAAAUUAAAU
rnacentral:misc_RNA from 1 species